CUGAAGUAGAUUAAGACUUGCAUUUGAGACCAGAGUAAUGAAGGAAGUUCCUGUUUGGAUUUAACAGUAUUAAAAUUUUGUCAUUACUAAAAUUUUUGUCAUUACUUCUGGAGUGUUGUCCAAGGGUAUGGCAUUUUCAUAAGCAUGUCUGAUUAUAUUCAGGCCUUUAAAAUAUUGCUUCAUACAAUUUAUGACUGAAAAAACUAAGAUUUUUAAACCUGGGAAAGAACUGAUUGAACAGAACUAGGACAGAAGUCAAAAAAGUCAUAAGCAGCAUGAAGAAGAUAAAUAAUGAAUACUCAUUCCUUGUCUUUUCCAAGAUAAAUAUUGGGAGGCACUAAAUGACACCAGCCAGUGACAGGUACACACAGAAAGUAAACAAGCUGUGGAAGUCACAGUCCCAGAGUAGAGCAGAUGCCCAGACGGCAUGUGGGUCCAAACAAGAAUUAGAAAAAUUUAAGAAAAAUCCAUCAAAGAUUAUGGGUCUUGAGGGGAAAUUCUUUUCAGAAAGCCCUUGAAUCUGCAAUUGUCAGGGACUAGAAUAUCCUGAGUUAUCAUCUUGAGAAAUUCACCUGCGUUUUAAAAUCCUCCCUGAGCAUUUACUCUUGUCCUGGGCCAGACAACAGAAGAGAUGAUCUCUGAGGUCUGAUUCAUGACUGACUGAUUUAUAAUUUUAACCUCCAGCUUCUGUGUCCAGAUCCUUGAGAAAUGCUUUCAUGUGAACAAUUUAGGAAAUGAUACAACAAAAGGUACUAAUGCUUCCUCGCCUUUAUAUCCUUAGGCCAUUAACGCUGAAGCAUCAUUUGUUGUAUUAGGAAAGCACACAGUCCAAAUUUUUACUUUCAGGUAUUCCAGAACAGGAAUAACUAAACUGAGAGACAGAAUAUUACCUAAUUAUCAGACAUUUUGAAAAAGAUUACUGCUUUAAUAAUCACCUUAUGUCAGUAACACAGAAUGUUUUCCAAUUACAUACAUACUAAGUUCUAGACAGAAAAAUCACAUUUUAAAUAUGGCCAGCAAAGCAUUUGGAUAAUUGUAAGACUCUCAGGGUAUUUCCUAAUUACAGAAAAAAAAACUAGCAAUGAAACUCAGCUCAAAGUUCAGUACACAGGUAAAGUAGCUUAUUAAUCUAAUGAGUCUGUGGGGCUGUUAAUAUUUGGUAGCUGUUUCUUGAGCAUUACAUGAACUGAUGGAAGUUACAUUACAGCCCAUAACGAUAUUGCUCUAAACUUUUAUUGCUCCCUACACUCCAAAACAACAUAACAUUUUAAUAAACUGUGAAACUUCAAGAUGAUUAUGUAAAAGUUGCUCCAUAGUUGGAAGUAGAAAAUGAAAGACUUUCCCAUUAUUUGUUAAAGUGUAACAAGUUUGAAAUCAGGUGCUAAUCUGCUGCAUGUACUUCUGGUAUGAAUAAGGAAGAAUAAAUGAAGCAGUGCUGGUAUGUUAGGGCUGUAAAUCUUGCUAUUAUAUUCAAUACAAGCCAUCAACACAGCAUCUGAAUUAAUGAACAGAAAAUUGGUCUGCUUAAGAGAAGAACAAAUUGAUCUGCAUUAUAUUCCAAGCAAAACACUGUGAGGUUUAGAUGGUCUGUAAGUCGUAUUAUCUUAGUCCUCAAAAGAAUCAAUGACAAUAUUCUGGACUUCUGUUUUGAAAUGUGUGAUUUGUUCCAGUGCAAGAGCAUUUAUUUAAACGGGACAUACCUCAAUCAAAGACAAAAAGCAAUGCAGCAAUCUCUGUCUGUAAUGAAUUCUGUCCAGCGAGCUGAUGAGAAUUUGCAGCCUGAUUUAUAGUUGUCACCACAGCUGAUAAAGGUCAUCACUGCAUCUCAUUUUUUAUACUUGCCUUUCUUUGGGGUUGCUGUUCAGCGUAAAUGAUGCUGAAAAUUGUAACUUUCAGGCAUAAAGCCAUUUAUUCUAUUUCUUUAACAUCAGAGUUCACUUCGCCAGCUCCUCCCCUUCUUUUAACUUCCAGGAAAUUGUCUGGUUGGUAGAACAUAUUACGUGUCUGUGAGUGUAGACACAGAUAUGUAGUCACGCUCACAAAAGUGACUGAUUACAGAAAGCAGUGAUUACUAGAAAUAAUGGAGCAGCCUUGGUGCUGUACAGAGUCAGCAUAGAGGAAUGGAAGAGCCUUGGCAGAAGGUUUUAAAAAUCUGAUAAGCAGAACAGAUGAAAUCAGAAAACCCAAGACCAAUGAUAUACUUGCAGUGUCAGAGUUUUCCAGAUUCUUUGUGCACAGCUUUUUUUUAAUUCAGUCAGGAAAUAUGCAAGCAGAGAAAACGGUUCUAAUGACAGAGAGCUCAGGUCCCUUGCAGUCACUGAGCUCUCACCAGGAACAGCACACAUGUAGAUUCACUUAGCCAGGCAGCUCUGCCCUCUGGCCUCUUUUUUAGGGUGAAACAAGAUAAAAUGUUGGGAUUUUUCUUAAGAAAAUAAUGCAUUAUACACUGUGGCCCCAAUGCGGGUUUUGCAUUUUCAGGUGUGCUACCUUGCAAACCCUUUCCAAGGUUUUACCAUCAGAAAAGGCAUGGGGUCUCUGGAAACUUGCCCACUGGUGCUGCUGUGGUGCUGAACCUGGAACUGGCAGUUGAAACUCAGGAGAAAGAUCAUAAGGCCAUCACAAAUAUCAUUUGGGACUCCAAAUCAUCAGCUCAAUAUGAAGAGGCAGCCUAAACAGCCAACAAAAUGAUGGACACCAUCAAGAGAGAAAGAAAGCAUUGUUCCUUUGCCAUGAUUUAAAACAUGGGAGCACAAAAAUUCAUGGACAACUGAUAAACUGACAAAUAUUAAAGGAAAUAGGUGGGAUAUAUCAUCUAUUAUCACUAAUGCAGGGCUGCCUCAUUAUGGACUUCUAAAAGGGGCCAGGCUCAAGUACAACACAGCAUCAGCUAUUGCUGUGGUUAGCUCUUGUCUGAGUCAACACAGCUUUUUACAUUGCUAUGUGUCAGACUGGGCACGAGGAUAAAUAGCUCAUCACAGUGGACUAGAAGGUCUGGGACAAUUUUGCUGCUAGAAAGACUAAGUUUGAGUGCUGAUGGUGCAAAGAAGCUGAAGGAAUUACAUCCACCUACAGGAACACAGAUUUGCAUUAGCGUCAGUGCUCAUGAAUUUAUUGCUGUACAGCUUCUCUGACGAGACUAACUAAAUGAGCCUCCGGAUACCAGCAUGACUGACAAGGCUGGCAAACAGAUUAUGCUGUGUCAAGAGAGCAGAAGGCAGCAUGCCCCGUGAGAGCCUGCAUUGCUCCCUGGGGACCGAGGUCACACUGCACCAGGCCAUGUGCACUGCUGAGAUGGAGCUCUGUGCUGGCACAGCGAAUGUCACAGGGCCACCAAGAGAGGAUUGGAACUCUUCUGUUAUUUCUCAUCCCUGCUGCUGUAGGAAGGUCCUUGCUAGACCUGACCUCGGGCAUGACCCACGGCAGCUGGCAGGCAGUUUGCAUCUGAUGGGCUUUACAGUGGUGUUAGAAACCCGGAAAGAGUUCUCUGAGCUUUCCACUAUAUUCUAUUCAACCCCAAGAAGCCAAUUACUGCAGCUGGAAACAAGUCAAGAGCCUGGUGUUAUCACCUUCUCUCUUCCAAAAAACCAAAAAGCUGUUGUGGGGAUUUUAAUGAUCCAAAGCAGUCAGAAUUUUAGGAUUUUAUCUUACAUCUGAAGGAUGAGCCUUCCACCAGCCCUGCAGCACUGUCCACUGCAGUGCAGGGCAUCACUUAGCACUCAGCCAGGCUGACACCCCUUUGCUGAUGCAAUGGCAGUGCCUGAAUCAGCUGAGGGUUUCUUGGAGUCCUCCCAGGCAGGUAUUGAUCAGACAUAACUGGUUAGCACUUACCAGAUAACAAGAUAACAGGCAGGAAGGUUGCAACAGUAGGACAGGUGUUUUUUCAGACAGAGUUGGUAUUUUUAGACUGUCAACGGCAUGCACUACAAUCAUAUUUAUUUGGAAAAAUAUGUGAAGAUGAGGCAGUGGAAUUAAUUUUU